GAUGAACGCUGGCGGCGUGCCUAAUACAUGCAAGUCGAGCGAACAGACGAGGAGCUUGCUCCUCUGACGUUAGCGGCGGACGGGUGAGUAACACGUGGAUAACCUACCUAUAAGACUGGGAUAACUUCGGGAAACCGGAGCUAAUACCGGAUAAUAUAUUGAACCGCAUGGUUCAAUAGUGAAAGAGGGUUUUGCUGUCACUUAUAGAUGGAUCCGCGCCGCAUUAGCUAGUUGGUAAGGUAACGGCUUACCAAGGCAACGAUGCGUAGCCGACCUGAGAGGGUGAUCGGCCACACUGGAACUGAGACACGGUCCAGACUCCUACGGGAGGCAGCAGUAGGGGAUCUUCCGCAAUGGGCGAAAGCCUGACGGAGCAACGCCGCGUGAGUGAUGAAGGUCUUCGGAUCGUAAAACUCUGUUAUUAGGGAAGAACAAAUGUGUAAGUAACUAUGCACGUCUUGACGGUACCUAAUCAGAAAGCCACGGCUAACUACGUG
rnacentral:rRNA from 1 species